GAGUAUCCUUCGCUGUCACCUGCCAUCUGACAGCCCAGGAGUGCCAGCUUGGCUUGGCUUUCUCUACCCGAGGAAAAACCAGAGGCAGGAGAAGUGUCCCCUCCAGUCGGUGCGGGUGUCAACAGCAACAGCUGGACCUUUAAAUACGGACCAGGCAACCCCAAACAAUCCGGUCCCGAACCUAAAAAGCAGACCCAAGUUUCCUUUCUCCUCCGCCGCAAAGGAGAGGCUUCCCAGCCCCGCCAGUGAGAGGUUGGACUCUCUGCCCUGUGCUCCGGGGAUCCUGUCUUGAUGACACUUGCAGGGCAGGCUGAAAAGUUUUGAGAUUGAGCAGCUUGGGAGUUUGUGGCCACUGGGUAUGUGUGGCUACCGCGGGUAUGCGAGUGCCAGAUAUUGGCUGAGACGAGCCAGCUUAGACUAAUUGGUACAAGGAAGGCAAGAAAACAAAGACAAAUAAACAGCGGAAGUUAUCAGUAUGGAGGGGAAGUGUAAACUUAAAGGGACCAGACUUUCUAAAUCUUACAACUCAAGAGGUGGCAGCCACCCUCUAGGAGACAAAACUACCCCCACUGACAAGGCUUUAGGAGACCCUAAAGUCUGUUGGCUGUGACGUCAUUAUACCUAAAAUCUGCAUCAUACCUGCAAGCCAACAGUUCAGUGUUUUAACAGAGAACCACCCUGGGAAACAGAAGCAGAUCUGAUGUGUUUCCUAUACAUGUCCUGUGCUCACUUUAUUAAAAAUUCUUUUGCACACAAUGUUUAUGAAAAGGCCAGAUCCUUUUCCAAUACUUAUGCAAAAGCAAAAGAAAACCCCGACACCUCACCUUUCGCUGUUUGUUGUUUCAUAGAUUUAUUUAAAAAAAGAGAAAGUCUAUAGCUAUAAAUCUUUAAAGAGAAAUAUGAAUACAAUUCCCCUAAACUCUCCUCAAAAGAGAAUUCAGUCUACAGCCAUUUAAAUGAUCAUUGCUGCUACAGAAGUGCUUUAAGAGAAUUGCCUGAAACAUCUGUAUUAUAUCGGCCACCUGCCAAUCACAGCUUUACUCUUUCAGGUCACUCUGGGGCUGCCUCUUGCAUGUAUUACUAAAUAAAAUGAUCUCUCUUUCUCUCUCUCUCUCUCUUUUCUAAGAAACAAUUAUGUGCACUUUGAUACACAACCUUCUCUAACCAACUAUAUAUCAAGACCCAAAAAUUGAAGAAAAAUAUUGUUUUCUCAUACAGUGAGCAGAUUUUUCAAUCUACUAAUUCUGUGACUUGUCUUGGUGUGCUAGCCUACACCUUCUCUUUGGUUUAGUUUUCCUUUUCUAUAACACUCUGAAUUGCUAAUCUUACUAACACCUAUGAUGUUACCUGAAAUCAAUCUCCCAUAUGUAUGCUGUAUGCUAUGCUAAGACUCCUGAAAUAUACUUACUCUGUGCUUGUGUAUGUGAAUGUUAAUGCAACUAUUACCUAGAGUGAACUUUAAGCUUUAUUGUUGAAUGUAAUUCCAUUAUAUUUCCUUUUGUACACCUGUGAAAAAGUGGAGUAGUGUUUUUUUAACCAUUGUUAAUCAGCUUUUGUGUAUGAAAGACACAGUAAAAUUUCUUUCUUAAAUCAAGAUACUGGUGAUUCAAGGAAUUUUAUUUAUGGUCCAGCCAAGAGCCAUCUCGUGCCAAGACUUCUGCUGGCAAGGGAAUGGAUAAAGCUGUUUUGUUCUAGUAACAAUUUUGGAAUGAAUACUGACAAUAUUCCAUGAGGGUGUGCAAGCACAAAUUUUACCAAUCUGACCUCUUUGAAGUUGCAGAAUGCUUUGAAAUUCUAAUGGUAUCUGAAAUAUCAGCUCAUAGAAAGUAACAAAAUUUGCUGUCACCUUAAAUAAGACAUUUUAAUUUUGUUAUAAUGUACAAUUUAGAAGUUUGAUUAAUUAUAUUAUCUAUUUAGGCAUUAAUAUAAAAGAGGUAGGAGUCUGUUAUUUAAAAAAAGCAUUAAAUUUAAAAAAAAACUGUCUUGUCUACUUUUAGCUUCAUUCUCCCAUAUUUUGAAGGGUGUGUAACUUCAGCUCUGCAGGAUUGCAU
rnacentral:misc_RNA from 1 species